rnacentral:antisense_RNA from 1 species
UCCAAUGGGCGGGCCUUGGCAGGGGAGCCUGACGGCUCGCCGGUUUUUGGUUCUGUGCGCCGGUCUGUGAACCCUGUCAAUGUGCCCGCUCACCCUC